CCCACAAACUCCAUACGAAAAACGAAAGUAAUUCAUCAGUUACGUAAAGGUAAAUUUUGUUUAAUGGAUUCAAGCCUUCUUCCAUGUUUAUCUUCUUUUUCCUUCUGCAAAAAACUAUUUUAAAGUGAUUGAUUCAUAAAAACCUUAAUAGAAUUGAAACACCCUAAAUCCCCUAAGUGAUGUUGUGGGGUGGAUGAUUCUGCGUUAUCAAUAUCUUGAACAUUCGUUUGCGUUUUGAAAAGAAAAAACGUUGUGUAAAACGGUCCGUAAGCGUCACCUCUUCGACUUCAGCGGUUCGUAACCGCCGCUACUUCAUCUCCGACUAUUCGUAACCGAUGCCCCUUCGUCUCCGACGAUUUGUGUGGAUUUUGUUUCGUCAAACGCCGUCGCCGUUCUCACAGAUCGGCACAUUUAUUUGAUAAAAUUUCUGUUCAGCAACCAUCCAACACCGUCAUCUUUUCUGACAAACUUUUUCGGUUGUUAACGGCAAUUACGACUGCGACGCUGCGAGAUAAACAUCCCUACUUUUACAAGGCAUUUUUGCAUUCUGAGACACAGCAAGACCGACGGAGGAAGACGACGCCGUUGCCGUUGAUCUUGGUGCAAAGCCGAUUGAUGGUCAAGGUUGAACCCGCAAUUACACGGUUGUUUAAAAGGUGAUCACCAAUGGUGUUGCGCGACGGAAUAGCACAGUCGGAACAGAGGAGAUGCUGGUGGUGUUGCUUCAAUAGGCGAACAAAUUAGAAGCCGAUUGAGAAGUAAAAAUGCGAGGUCACAAAGGCUUAAGAAGAGUUGAUGAUUGCGAACGUCGUCACUUUAUUUACAGUAAAUAGCAAUUCAAACUUUAAACGUGAAACGAGUUUGACGACUCUAGGGUGAGGAAUUUAAUCAUACAGGAAUUGUAGGAAAUUAGUACCGGAUAAAAUCUUUUUGAUUGGGUCCAUCGAUCUUGAAUUCAGGUUUGCUAGGUAAGCAACUCUUAUCAUGUUUCAUCAUUUAUUUAUUUUUCUUAAAUUAAACAAGAUAUGGAUUUAAUCUAUUUUUUCACCGGUAAAUAUAAUCAACAAAAAGGACUUCAAAAUAUACCUUUUGCAUUCAUUUUUAUCUUUGAAAAUCAUGCUUUUUUGUAUAAUAACUACAGUAAAAAAACCUAACAAAAGACAAAUGAAAAUAAUCAGCUUCCCGCCGCAACGCGCGGGUUAGCGUCAACUCGUUUCAAAACAAUUACUGCACAAGCAUUAUAUUAUUUUGAUAACAAUCUUAUUUUCGUUUGAUAAAAUGUAUCAAGAGGUUUUAUACAAUAAAUUUGGGUGAGACACAAUUGAUAUGUUUACUUUAUUUUUCUUUUUACAUGUUUGGCCCUUGAGAAAAACCACACAACUGAAAUCAACCCACUCGUUUGUAAAUGUAUUGAAAAUGUCAACACUAUCGUAUACACAAAUAUAGAUACACACACAUAUAUAGAAGGGAUUAUAAGAAAACUUAUAAGAUACUGGAAAACUUCGAGCAAAACAUUUGUAGACAAGAUUUUUAAAAAAAAUUCUUUUCAUUAUUUUUAUAUGUUAUUGAUCUUUGCUAAAACCAAAGAAAAAACACUACAUGUAGUUCGCGAGAUACAUAUAUGUAGCUUGUAAACUACAUAUAUAGACCUCGUAUGAUAUACAUAUAUGUAACUUCAUGAACUACAUAUAUAUAUUAUUUUUAUUUUAAAAAAGAUAAUACUAACCUUAUAACUAAAAAAUAGGAAUAAUGGAUUUUAACAAUCCUAACUAUUAGCCGUUGGCCGGCAACGCUCCCAACUUACAAAAUAACCAGUCGAGUAGUCGACCUUGACCACAGCGUCUGGUGUCACGGUGGUUGGCACAUCAUUCCUUGCCGUUAAAAAAAAGAUAUUAAGGUAGGGGAAAUCAUUGAAGAUGUGAAGUAGCUUGGAUGCUUAAUUAUGGUAUAAGAAUAUAUCUAAAGAUAAGUUUGAUUGUUUUGUUCUUUACAAAAGUUUCUCAUGUAAGUUAUUUACCAAUCUUUGACAAAUUUCCUAUCCAUGUAUGUUUGUUCUCAACUUAGAUGUUCAAAAGUCCUUAUAUGUUUAGUUUCGAUGGUUAUGUUUCCUCAACAUCAUUUAUCCUAAGAACUAUUAUUUUUGUCAUAUGUGUAAAUAUGAAUAUUAUACGGAUGCAGUAA
rnacentral:lncRNA from 1 species